rnacentral:lncRNA from 1 species
UUUUUGCUUGUUGAUUUUUUUUUUUUUAGGUUUUUUGUUGGUUUUGUUUUUUUUUAAAUAAGAAAUUUAUUGCAAAUAUAGAAAUUGAUUUUCUCCAUACAGGAAUCUCCGAGUUGAGGAAAAACGAUUUCGUGCCAUUCAGUUUUAAAACAGGAAAAGAAGGAAAGAGAGAAAAAAAAAAGAAAGAAAGAAAAGAACAAGAAAGAAAUACAAUUCUAAAAGAAGAAAAGAAAAUAAAUUCAAAAAAAGAAGAAGAAAGUAAAGAACGUAACUCCAACGGAAGGAGGAACACCAAAGAGGCCACAAGGAGCCAGUCCCAGCAGCUGCCUCCCAGGCCCUUCCUUACAUUCAAGGGCUGACACCCCCUUCUCUGUGCCUGGCAGCUGCCCGCCCCUUCCCACCCCCUCACCCCAGACGCUGUGCUUGUGGAUGGACCAGCCGUACCAGCCCUGGAGGGUCUGGCCUGACCCGGACAGACUCUUCCUCUUCCCCCCAGGGAAGGUGGAGAGCAGGCGGUGGGGACAGGCCGCCCAAGAGCAAGGCCUCACAGUGGUGGUGGUAGCUAUGGGGGAGGCAAAGGCCAAGCCAAAUGCACGAGGAUGGGGCAUACGGAGGGGGGCUGUAAAGGGGGGAGGAGGGAAUUUGACCCCUGGAGGGGCAGGGAGGAUAAGGAGCGGGAGAAGGGGGAGAAGGAGAAGCCAGGCAGAAGAUGCCCUCUCUCCAGGGACAGGGUGGGUUGGGGCAGCCCUGCAGAGAGCUGCCCUAGCAGGAUGGCCAGGGACAGGUACGGAGACACCUCCCCAGGGCACGUGGGGGGACAGUCAAGGGGAGGCAGACCGAGAACGCCCCUCACAGUACAAGGCCAAAGCGGCUGAGGGACAGGGUUGGGAAUGCGUGCGUGUGUAGGGGGGACGCAAUAGAUGCUCCCCUCUGCCCUUCUCCAGGGAAGGACCCAAAGACACCUGCUCAGACAGGAUGGGCAGGGCAUGGCUGAGGUGGGGCAGGAUCCACCAGCCCUACAGGAAACCCCAUAGCCUGGUGGGGGGUGGCACAAAAUGUCUGUCCCACACCAAGCCAUCCUGAGGAGGCUCCCUCCUGCUCAGAUAAUGGGACAGCAGCAGGCUGACUCCAACAAGAGGACACGGCUCCAUGAGGCUCUUCUUGACUGCAUCUUGUGUGGAAGGAGGUGAUAACGGUGGAAGGGAUGUUUUCCAGGCUCCAGGAGACUCUGUGUCCUUCCUGACGCAGCUGAGCUUUCCAGUCAGCAACAAGCAUGGUAAAUGUGCUUUUGGGGCCCUGGGUCCAGCUCCUACCCAGAUGGCAGGUGCCCACCCUGUAGCACUUAGCUCUGCCCUACAGAGAGGGGUCACAGCUCAUCAUGAAGUCUUCCCAGAUUUUUGUCUCCAGGCACUGCUGACUUAUUCCCUUACUUUCUCUCAGAGAACCUUCACCCCUGCACUCAAUCCUUGUUCUUCCCUUCGUCCCUUUAUCAUCCUAUUCUUUCCACUGUAGCCAUCUCUUCCCCAGGUCUUUCCAGCCUAUUCUUCUUCUAUGCCUUCUCCAUCUCCCUCUACCUGCUACCUCCUUGCCUCACUACUCCUUGGUCCUACCAUACCAAUUCACCCCUACUGUGUCUGCCCCUCGUCUCUUUCUCAGCUCCUUUUCCACCUUCCUCCUGCAUCUUCCUCUCAUUCCUUCAAGCCUGCCAGGCGGAGCCUCCUCCAGCCAAGAAGGCUGAUUAGCAUUGCAAACACACAGAGGCCUCCUCAGCCCGACAUAAUUCUUCAUUUGUCAGUCAUGAAUAUUUCACACCUGCCUCAAGAGGGAUUUAUUCAGCAUGGAAGAAUGGGGAGGGGGAGAAGGGAACAUGGUACUGCAGCAUAAUCUGGGGCAGCACCAGCAGAUAUGGGAAAGAGCUCUGCCCCACAGGAACAGCAUGCCUAGCUAGAGUCUCACCUUCACUCUCCUGAGUGCAGGGCCCCAGCCCAGGCUUCUCCCCAAGGCUGUUCUUGGGGCUAGAGGGCAGGUCUGCACCCAACCUCAUUCCUCACCCUCCACAAUUUUCAGUGAGGUGAACUAAAGCCCUGUUUUCUCUGCCAAGAGUCACCAAGCCAGAAAUAAAGUGUGAAAGGGUUUGGUCUUGGUUUGGCCCCAGAAGUCCACUUUCCCCUGGGAGAAGGCAGCACUGAGGGACUUACCAAAGCCAAGCCUUAAAGGCCUUAGACACUUCAGGCAGUCCCUCCACACUUUUUCCCAGCAAAGAGAUUUUUGAGGCCCUGCCCUCUGUCAGGCCAGCCAGGGUGGAGAAUGCAUAGGAUAGACCUAAUCUAGAGGUCUACGCAAUCAAUAAGAGGAAGGUGGUGGGAGAUCUUCUAAGUGACUGUAAUCAGCUGCACAUGAAGUUUUCACUGUAUCAGAGGUUUCCCCUCAGCUAAAGCACUUCACAUUCCCUCUAGCAUAACCUUGCUUUUUGGGAAAGAGCAACCAGGGCAAAGGAGCAUUUCUUUUACAAGACCCAUCUUGACAGGCCUCACUCCUGUUCCUCAAUAACAAGGAAAAAUGAUGGCCACUAGAAAGAGCAGGCCUUUGGUAUAUAACACAUACCCCUUUAUACACAUGACUGUGAAAAGCAGCUGAGAGACCACAAUUGGAGCAAGGGAAAGGGGGACACUGGAAAGAAGAAGGAAUGAGGUUUAUGGGGUGAUUGGUUUGGGUUCUCCUUGGGAUAUGUUCCCUCUCAGACUGGUAGGAGUCUCUCAUAAAAUCACAUCAGGAAUCAAUGAAAGGAGCAGAGGAAACAGGGACAAGGACAGGAGAGACUUGGAGGGAGGAGGUUAAAUUCCAACAAACUGGCACAUACACAACAGGUGUUUGCUCAGAAAAAUACAGUAAAAUUGUCAUGCAAAUAGAACGUAAAAUCUGCUUUCCUCCAACAGGGCUGGCAUCACUUUGUGAGCCCUCAUCCUGAGGGAGGGAGCAGAACAAAGAGGAAGGGAGGAGGAAGGAAGGUGAGAUAUACUUUGUUCCCCUUCCUUGCCCUCUUCCUCCCGCAGAACAGUCCAUCUUGUGCAAACUUCAUCCAAUGGUUUGAAAUGGGGGGCUACAGCUGGGAGAGAAAUGGCUUUUCCCUUCUAUCCAGCCUUACCCCCACCAGAGAAAAAAGAAGGGCCUGAUGAUAGCUGUAUCCCUGACCUUUCUUUUCUGCCUCAUUGAAGUGUUGAGGGGAAAAAGCAGAAACCUUUACAGGUUAAAGCUCCCCCUUAAAGUAUUGACUGAGCAGAACUGUUUACAAGACCACAUGGCAGAGAAGCACAGGGAGGGAAGAGUUGGGGAGAGGAACAAGACUCCAUCCCCCCUAGCCCAUCAUCCCCCUUUUUCUGUCCAAUUCUGUGCCCAGCCAUUAGUCUUUUCUGCUUGGAUAGUUGCCGUGCUGGAAGACCACUGAGCCUUCUCUGUGUGGUAGCUGGGGAGGUCUCUGUUGUGCCUAAGCAUCUCUCACUGCGUUUACCUGUCUUGGUUUGCUGCAUGGUCCCAACAUAGAGGGACACCUGCCAGCAGUGAUGUGACUUCCCUUUGUGACUUCCCUUCAUCCUCCUGCACACAGGUGCACACACACAUGUGCACACACAACACUUCCUCUGGGUUGGAUUGGCUCUUACCGUGUGGAGUCAGUCCCACAACACCUCUGGACUCAAGGCAAAAUAAUGCUUUGACCGUGGGAAAGCAGGCUGACAGUGAAAAGUCUGAGGCAAUGGGGUCAGGACUUGGCUUAGGAUUGUUACCAUCAGCAUCCCUACAAGGGAUGAAACUCCCCAUCUUGGAGUAAACCUCUGAAGAUCUUCAUAGGUUUAUUUUGGGGAUACCUGCUCUGGUUUUCAUGCACCAGACUCUGCCUACUGCUCCACCUCACUUACAGAUGGUGAAAUUGUCAUGUGCGACAUAGAAGCCAGCUCUCACACCUGGCAUUGCUACUACCUUGCAGGUAACAGGCAAAUUCUCUGCAUGCACCAUGUAAAUCCCUCCUAGAGAAGCUCCUACACCCUCAUCCUUCUCCCAGGGCCCCCAAAAACACUGAGUCUUCUGAGGAGUACCUCAAAGAGGAAAUAACUACUUAGGGAGGGCAAACAUAACACAGGCCCUCACCCUCAUCCUGACAGAGGUGAACUAUGGUCAAGUGUUGGGCAGAUCAUGGGGGAGGCGGCUCAUGGU